GACGAACCGUGCGAACGUUAUUCGGAAUCACUGGGCUUAAAGGGCGCGUAGGCGGGCUCGCCAGUCAGGGGUGAAAGCCCACGGCUCAACCGUGGAAGUGCCUUUGAUACUGCGAGUCUCGAGGGAGGUAGGGGCGUGCGGAACUUCCGGUGGAGCGGUGAAAUGCGUAGAUAUCGGAAGGAACACCGGUGGCGAAAGCGGCGCGCUGGACCUCUUCUGACGCUGAGGCGCGAAAGCCAGGGGAGCAAACAGG
rnacentral:rRNA from 1 species